UCAGUCCGUCGUGUUGCAGCUGCCGUCGGGUGCACUAGACAUCGUGCUGGCUCAAAUCGUUCGAAACAAGCCAUCUCUGGAUAACUCGAGCGCGUACGAACGUACAGCGCAACACCUCCGACCUGAGAUCAGGCAAGACUACCCGCUGANUUUAAGCAUAUUAAUAAGCGGAG
rnacentral:rRNA from 1 species